AUUCCCUAGUACGGCGAGUGAAGCGGGAAGAGCUCAAAUUUGAAAUCUGGUGGCCUCAGGUCAUCCGAGUUGUAAUCUAUAGAAGUGUUUUCCGUGCUGGCUCAUGUACAAGUCCCUUGGAACAGGGCGUCAUAGAGGGUGAGAAUCCCGUCCUUGACAUGAACUACCAGUGCUCUGUGAUACAUUUUCAACGAGUCGAGUUGUUUGGGAAUGCAGCUCAAAAUGGGUGGUAAAUUCCAUCUAAAGCUAAAUAUUGGCGAGAGACCGAUAGCGAACAAGUACCGUGAGGGAAAGAUGAAAAGCACUUUGGAAAGAGAGUUAAACAGUAUGUGAAAUUGUUGAAAGGGAAACGAUUGAAGUCAGUCGUGCUCUUUGGAUUCAGCCGGUUCUGCCGGUGUACUUCCUUUGAGUGGGGUCAACAUCAGUUUUGAUCGCUGGAUAAAGGCUGGAGGAACGUAGUACCCUCGGGUAAACUUAUAGCCUCCUGUCACAUACAGUGGUUGGGACUGAGGAACGCAGCACGCCUUUAUGGCCGGGAUUCGUCCACGUACGUGCUUAGGAUGUUGACAUAAUGGCUUUAAACGACCCGUCUUGAAACACGGACCCA
rnacentral:rRNA from 1 species